AACGGCGAGUGAAGCGGCAGCAGCUCAAAUUUGAAAUCUGGUCUCCCCACGGGAACCCGAGUUGUAAUUUGAAGAGGAUGCUUCGGGUGCGGCCGCGGUCCAAGUGCCCUGGAACAGGACGUCGCAGAGGGUGAGAGCCCCGUCUUUGAUCGCCGGCACGCGCCCGUGUGAAGCUCCUUCGACGAGUCGAGUUGUUUGGGAAUGCAGCUCUAAAUGGGUGGUAAAUUUCAUCUAAAGCUAAAUACUGGCUGGAGACCGAUAGCGCACAAGUAGAGUGAUCGAAAGGUUAAAAGCACCUUGAAAAGGGAGUUAAACAGCACGUGAAAUUGUUGAAAGGGAAGCGCUUGCGGCCAGACUCGGCCGCGCGGGCUCAGUGGGUAGUCGUACCCACGCACUCCCGCGCGCGUCGGGCCAGCAUCAGUUUCGGCGGCCGGUCAAAGGCCCCUGGAAGGUACCGCCCCCCGGGGCGCCUUACAGCCAGGGGUGCAAUGCGGCCAGCCGGGACUGAGGAUCGCGCCUUCGGGCACCGAUGCUGGCGUAAUGGCCGCAAGCGG
rnacentral:rRNA from 1 species